AAGUCGUAACAAGGUUUCCGUAGGUGAACCUGCGGAAGGAUCAUUACAAAAUACGUGGACACCAACGUGCCCCUCAUCGUCUGUAUUCACUCUGAGUACCUUUCCCGUUGCUUCUGUGGGGUAUGGCGAUUUGCGUACGUCGCAUUUCCCUCCCUGGGAUGUUUGCAAAAUUUCCCAGGAGAGACCCUGUGGGAGGGAAGCACUGAACCCCUUUGCAUACCGAUAGUGUUCAGUCCGAGCUUGUUUUUGAAGAAACAUUAAAACUUUCAGCAACGGAUCUCUUGGUUCUCGCAUCGAUGAAGAACGCAGCGAAAUGCGAAAAGUAGUGUGAAUUGCAGAAUUCAGUGAAUCAUCGAAUCUUUGAACGCACAUUGCGCCUUGCAGUAUUCUGCGAGGCAUGCCUGUCCAAGCGUCAUGUGAAAAACGUUCAAGCCCCUGGCUUGGUCAUGGAGGAUGAGCACACCACACCGUCGGUGGGUUUUCACUUCUGAAAUUGAAUGGCGGAUUACCGUGAGCUGCCUUGAGCGUCGUAUGUGCCUGACACUCUCGCCUUGGUGGCCGGUGAAGUCCUGNCCACCAACCCCCACAACAUCUUGGGUUGACUUUGGAUCAGGUAGGGAUACCCGCUGAACUUAAGCAUAUCAAUAAGCGGAGGAAAAGAAACCAACAGGGAUUGCCUUAGUAACUGCGAGUGAAGCGNCAAAAGCUCAAAUUUGAANUCUGGCGUUUUGGAACGUCCGACUUGUAAUUUGGAGAGGCAUCUUUGGAGAUGGCGUUGUCCCAAGUUCCUUGGAACAGGACGUCGUAGAGGGUGAGAAUCCCGUACGCGGACUGCUGUCCAUCUCCGUUUCUGGAUGUGAUCGACGAGUCGAGUUGUUUGGGAAUGCAGCUCAAAAUGGGUGGUAAAUGUCAUCCAAAGCUAAAUAUUGGCGAGAGACCGAUAGCGCACAAGUAGAGUGAUCGAAAGAUGAAAAGCACUUUGAAAAGAGAGUCAAAAAGUACGUGAAAUUGCUGAAAGGGAAGCGCUUGAGAUCAGGCACGACUCUUUGAUAUCUUCCUGGGCUUUUGGCCGGGUAAACGAUAUCUUGGAUUCGAGCCAGCAUCGGUUUUUGCGGUGGGAUAAAAGGUUGGGGAAUGUAGCUUCCUUUGGGGAGUGUUAGAGCCCUGGCCAGAAUGCCACCAGUGAGGACCGAGGACCGCGCUUCGGCUAGGAUGCUGGCGUAAUGGUCUUAAGCGACCCGUCUUGAAACAC
rnacentral:rRNA from 1 species